rnacentral:rRNA from 1 species
AACGAACGCUGGCGGCGUGCCUAACACAUGCAAGUCGAGCGAGAAAGCCCGCAAGGGUGAGUAAAGCGGCGCACGGGUGCGUAACACGUGGGUAAUCUGCCCUGAAGUCCGGAAUAACUCGCCGAAAGGCGUGCUAAUGCCGGAUAAGACCACGGGAGCCUCGGCUCCUGCGGGAAAAGGUGGCCUCUGUAUACAAGCUAUCACUUCAGGAUGAGCCCGCGGCCCAUCAGCUCGUUGGCGGGGUAAUGGCCCACCAAGGCUACGACGGGUAGCUGGUCUGAGAGGACGAUCAGCCACACUGGAACUGAGACACGGUCCAGACUCCUACGGGAGGCAGCAGUGGGGAAUCUUGCGCAAUGGGCGAAAGCCUGACGCAGCAACGCCGCGUGUGUGAUGAAGGUCUUCGGAUCGUAAAGCACUGUCGCGAGGGACGAAUAAGGGGCGGGUUAACAUCCCGUUCCGAUGACGGUACCUCGAGAGGAAGCACCGGCUAACUCUGUGCCAGCAGCCGCGGUAAUACAGAGGGUGCAAGCGUUGUUCGGAAUUAUUGGGCGUAAAGCGCGUGUAGGCGGCUUUGUAUGUUGGGUGUGAAAGCCCUCGGCUUAACCGAGGAAGUGCGCCCAAAACUGCAUGGCUUGAGUACCGGAGAGGGUGGCGGAAUUCCCGGUGUAGAGGUGAAAUUCGUAGAUAUCGGGAGGAACACCAGCGGCGAAGGCGGCCACCUGGACGGAUACUGACGCUGAGACGCGAAAGCGUGGGGAGCAAACAGGAUUAGAUACCCUGGUAGUCCACGCCGUAAACGAUGAGCGCUAGGUGUUGUGGGUGUUGACCCCUGCAGUGCCGCAGCUAACGCAUUAAGCGCUCCGCCUGGGAAGUACGGCCGCAAGGCUAA